GCUUACGGCCACAGCCUGGUUCACGCCCGAUCUCGCUUUGAUCUCGGAAGCUAAGAUAGGUUGGGCCUGGUUAGUACUUGGAUGGGAGACCGCCUGGGAAUACCAGGUGCUGUAAGCU
rnacentral:rRNA from 1 species